GACGAACGCUGGCGGCGUGCUUAACACAUGCGAGUCGAACGGUGAAGCUCCAGCUUGCUGGAGUGGAUCAGUGGCGAACGGGUGAGUAACACGUGAGCAGCCUGCCCCUGACUCUGGAAUAAGCGCUGGAAACGGCGUCUAAUACUGGAUACGAGAAGGGUCCGCAUGGGCACUUUCUGGAAAGUUUUUCGGUUGGGGAUGGGCUCGCGGCCUAUCAGCUUGUUGGUGAGGUAAUGGCUCACCAAGGCGACGACGGGUAGCCGGCCUGAGAGGGCGACCGGCCACACUGGGACUGAGACACGGCCCAGACUCCUACGGGAGGCAGCAGUGGGGAAUAUUGCACAAUGGGCGAAAGCCUGAUGCAGCGACGCCGCGUGAGGGAUGACGGCCUUCGGGUUGUAAACCUCUUUCAGCAGGGAAGAAGCGAAAGUGACGGUACCUGCAGAAGAAGCACCGGCUAACUACGUG
rnacentral:rRNA from 1 species